ACGACCACCCAGGGCCGGAAAGUUGGUCAAACCCGGUCAUUUAGAGGAAGUAAAAGUCGUAACAAGGUCUCCGUAGGUGAACCUGCGGAGGGAUCAUUACAAGUGACCCCGGUCUAACCACCGGGAUGUUCAUAACCCUUUGUUGUCCGACUCUGUUGCCUCCGGGGCGACCCUGCCUUCGGGCGGGGGCUCCGGGUGGACACUUCAAACUCUUGCGUAACUUUGCAGUCUGAGUAAACUUAAUUAAUAAAUUAAAACUUUUAACAACGGAUCUCUUGGUUCUGGCAUCGAUGAAGAACGCAGCGAAAUGCGAUAAGUAAUGUGAAUUGCAGAAUUCAGUGAAUCAUCGAAUCUUUGAACGCACAUUGCGCCCCCUGGUAUUCCGGGGGGCAUGCCUGUUCGAGCGUCAUUUCACCACUCAAGCCUCGCUUGGUAUUGGGCAACGCGGUCCGCCGCGUGCCUCAAAUCGACCGGCUGGGUCUUCUGUCCCCUAAGCGUUGUGGAAACUAUUCGCUAAAGGGUGUUCGGGAGGCUACGCCGUAAAACAACCCCAUUUCUAAGGUUGACCUCGGAUCAGGUAGGGAUACCCGCUGAACUUAAGCAUAUCAAUAAGCGGAGGAAAAGAAACCAACAGGGAUUGCUCUAGUAACGGCGAGUGAAGCAGCAAUAGCUCAAAUUUGAAAUCUGGCGUCUUCGACGUCCGAGUUGUAAUUUGUAGAGGAUGCUUCUG
rnacentral:rRNA from 1 species